AGGAUGAACGCUGGCGGUCUGCUUAACACAUGCAAGUCGAACGGAGUAGAAAUACUUAGUGGCGGACGGGUGAGUAACGCGUGAGAAUCUACCUUCAGGACGGAGACAACAGUUGGAAACGACUGCUAACCCCCGAUGUACUGAAAAGGCAAAUAUUUAUAGCCUGAAGAAGAGCUCGCGUCCGAUUAGCUAGUUGGAGAGGUAAAAGCUCACCAAGGCGACGAUCGGUAGCUGGUCUGAGAGGACGAUCAGCCACACUGGGACUGAGACACGGCCCAGACUCCUACGGGAGGCAGCAGUGGGAAUUUUCCGCAAUGGGCGAAAGCCUGACGGAGCAAGACCGAGUGGGGGAAGAAGGCUCGUUGGGUUGUAAACCCCUUUUCUCUGGGAAGAACGCAAUGACGGUACCAGAGGAAUCAGCAUCGGCUAACUCCGUGCCAGCAGCCGC
rnacentral:rRNA from 1 species